rnacentral:rRNA from 1 species
AGGACGAACGCUGGCGGCGUGCUUAACACAUGCAAGUCGAGCGGAAAGGCCCUUCGGGGUACUCGAGCGGCGAACGGGUGAGUAACACGUGAGCAACCUGCCCCUGGCUCUGGGAUAGCCUCCGGAAAACGGGGAUUAAUACCGGACAUUCACUUCCUUCCGCAUGGUUGGUGGUGGAAAGUUUUUCGGCCGGGGAGGGGCUCGCGGUCUAUCAGCUUGUUGGCGGGGUAACGGCCCACCAAGGCGACGACGGAUAG